AUUGAACGCUGGCGGCAGGCCUAACACAUGCAAGUCGAGCGAGUGGCGGACGGGUUAGUAAUGUAUGUGGAUCUUCCCGAUAGAUGGGUAUAACUACUGGAAACGGUUGCUAAUACCGCAUACUAUCGGCUGAACCCAUAUGGGAUUAUCUAGUAGGUGGGGUAAAGGCUCACCUAGGCGACGAUCUCUAGCUGGUCUGAGAGGAUGAUCAGCCACACUGGGACUGAGAAACGGCCCAGACUCCUACGGGAGGCAGCAGUGGGGAAUAUUGGACAAUGGGCGAAAGCCUGAUGCAGCCAUGCCGCGUGUAUGAAGAAGGCCUUAGGGUUGUAAAGGACUUUCAGCGGGGAGGCGUUACCAGCAGAAGAAGCACCGGCUAACUACGUGCCAGCAGCCGCGGUAAUAC
rnacentral:rRNA from 1 species